GCCCGGAUGGUGGAAUCGGUAGACACAAGGGAUUUAAAAUCCCUCGGCGUUCGCGCUGUGCGGGUUCAAGUCCCGCYCCGGGUACCA
rnacentral:tRNA from 1 species